GUGCAAGUAUAUCACUCUUUUCUCUUCAGUCAACCAUUUCUGUCAAAUCCAAUUUCUAAGUCAUGCUUAGAGUCCUCAACGAAAAGCUGAAGCGCCUCUGUUUUAGUCUCCGGUGGCCAAUACGCUGCCGUUCAAAGAACAAAAUCAAAAUUACUGUGAAAAAACUGGGAAAAUCAAAUUCAAGUUCUCAUUCACAAAUUGAUCCGUCAAAUUCAAAUGGGUCAGCAGCAAUUCAUCCAAGUAAUGGCGAAUUGAAUCGUUCUAAAACUGGACGAACCAUACGAGUAGCUACAUUUAAUGCUGCGCUUUUCUCCAUGGCGCCCGCACUUCCAAGGAGUAGUUCUG
rnacentral:misc_RNA from 1 species